GUGUCUCUACUAAUGUAUCCUGCACACUCACUACAUUUCUGGAGGGCAUUUCACACUGAGGAUUUACAGUAGGCUUAUUCAACCAAAAUUUAUCAUCAGGGUACAUCUUCCCUUUUUAAGGUGUGUGUGGUUAUAUUUUCAGAUUUUUUUUUCAGAAUGCUUAUUUAUUCUUGUUCAACUAAUCUCUGCUUUCUUUCAUUCAAUGAGGCAUUAUCGAAUGCAUUGGAACCUGGUAAAAAACAAGGAAGAAUCAGAUGCUGGUUUUUAUUAAAACGUGCUCAUUAUAGGUAAGAUUUUUCUUCUGAAGACUUUACAGCAUUAUCUGGUCUCCUGGGUCCUUCUCAUUUCUCACUCUGGACUUCAAAGCUGCAGGAAUUCUUUGGAUCUGCAAAAGUGGGCAAGAUUUGAGUGGGUUGUUCGGCUGUUGUAGCUAUUCCACUGUCUCCUGCUUAAUCCCUUCUAACUGACUAAGUUUAUCUUUGUUAACUUCAGACUUCUGGAGCAAGGGGUCACCUCCAUCACACUGGAGUUGAUUCUCAGGGAGCUGGUGACAAACUGCCCUGUGGCUGCUGGGGCUGGUGACAGUGCAGCCCUGCACGAUGCUUCUGUGCCCACAUGAGCACAGUUUGAAGUUCCUCAGCAGGCAACCCUUGAGCUGUGGCAGCCAGGAGGGUGUUUUAAGGCAGCCGUCCCCAAACUAUUUGCCACCAGGGACCGGUUGCAUAGAAGACAAUUUUUCCAAAGACCAGGGUAGGGGGGUGGUUUGGGGAUGAAACUGUUCCACAUCAGAUCAUCAGGCAUUAGAUUCUCAUAAGGAGCACACAACCUAGAUCCCUUACAUGCAUAGUUCACAAUAGGAUCGGCUCCUAUGAGAAUCCGAUGCUGCUGCUGAUCUGACAGGAGGUGGAGCUCAGGCAGUAAUGCUUGCUCGCCAGCCACUCACCUCCUGCUGUGCGGCCUGGUUCCUAACAGGCCACAGACCAGUACCAGUCCAGGGGUUGGGGAUCCCUGUUUUAAGGUGUAUAUGGGGAGUAUUAUUGAGUCCAGGUUUCUGCUACCUUGGGAUACAUUUUUAUCUCAUAUUCCAAUUAGAAAUGUUUUUCCACAUCAAAUAAAGCAGAAUUAACACAUUAUAUUGGCACAGUACACACACCCUCUAAAGAGCAUAUCGCAUCCUAGAGCAAGCAGACAGGGGCAGGGCACCAAGGGCACACACAGGUGGCAGGCAGUGGGAACAUGCAGGCGGACGCUGCAGCAGCUUUGGUGUGAAGACUGCAUGGUCUGUGAACAAGGUCACCAAGUGGAGAAGAAUAAUGAUCAUCCUGGCCUCUCAGAACAGCGUGGCACCUGCAGAACGGGAGUGGCCACACCCGGACGCAGGCAGAAGACAAAUCCAGAGCACAGCAGAGCAAACAAGCUCAUCCUCAGCCACACCCAUCAGAGGGUUUUCACCAACUCCCAAUGCUCAGGAAAUCAAUAUCAUAAUCACCUACAUCAGAAGUACAGGUCACAUAGGUGCAUGAAAUGCACAUGCGUGAUAUAAAUUAUUCUUCAAUUAAUUGCAGUAAACUGCAAUUCUUGUUUAAUAGCGGUGCUUUCAGUCAUUCUUAUCAGAUCUUUUUUACUGUCUUUCUAAAGUCCCAGAUUGCAGACUUUUGUAGUAUUGUUAGAAGGAAACGUGUGGGCUAGGCAGAGACUUUCCAAAUACUGCUGUCAAGAUGCAGAUGGCCAGAGUGGCAAGGCCCAGCCAUCCUCACUCGGCUGAAUCUCACAUUAAGAAGGCUUGGCCUGGCACGGUGGCUCAUGCCUGUAAUCCCAGCACUUUGGGAGGCCGAGGUGGGCGGAUCACUUGAGGUCAGGAGUUCAAGACCAGCCUGGCCAACAUGAUGAAACCCUAUCUCUAUAAAAAAUACAAAAUUAGCCAGGUGUGGUGGUGCACGCCUGUAAUCCCAGACACUCGGGAGGCUGAAGCAUGACAGCCGCUUGAACCCCAGAGUGGGAGGUUGCAAUGAGCCAAGAUCAUGCCACUGCAUUCCAUCCUGGGCAACAGAGUGAGACUCCAACUUAAAAAAAAAAAAAGAUGAUAUAUGUUUGCCUGUUCUUGGGACACAUCAUACUUCCAAGUAAAGUCUGAA
rnacentral:lncRNA from 1 species